ACCAGACUCCUACGGGAGGCAGCAGUGAGGAAUAUUGGUCAAUGGUCGGGAGACUGAACCAGCCAAGCCGCGUGAGGGAGGAAGGUACAGAGUAUCGUAAACCUCUUUUGUCAGGGAACAAAGGCGGGGACGUGUCCCCGGAUGAGUGUACCUGAAGAAAAAGCAUCGGCUAACUCCGUGCCAGCAGCCGCGGUAAUACGGAGGAUGCGAGCGUUAUCCGGAUUUAUUGGGUUUAAAGGGUGCGCAGGCGGAAGAUCAAGUCAGCGGUAAAAUUGAGGGGCUCGACCUCUGCGAGCCGUUGAAACUGGCGCUCUUGAGUGGAAGAGAAGUAUGCGGAAUGCGUGGUGUAGCGGUGAAAUGCAUAGAUAUCACGCAGAACCCCGAUUGCGAAGGCAGCAUGCCGGCUUCCGACUGACGCUGAAGCACGAAAGCGUGGGGAUCGAACAGGAUUAGAUACCCUUGUAAC
rnacentral:rRNA from 1 species